rnacentral:lncRNA from 1 species
UCUCUCCCCCUCCGCACGCCUAAAAAUAAAGAGGGAGCCACGAGUCUCUUCUUGCUUGUUGAUUUGGCGGGCGCUUUCUGUUCGGCUCCAGGAGUCCUUCUCCGCCGCUGACUUCGAAACAGCUUAGCUGGGAAACUGAAGUCUUAAAACGCACCCGAUCGCGCCUGCUCCGUUCCUCUUCGCCCCCCAAAAAGCAAAAACAAAAACCCAAAAAGGGGGCGCAGAGGGGGGAAACAACAACACCGGGAAACUCACGCUCUGCUGUGCUUUAAAAAAAAUCCGAAUCUUCAACGUGGGGGAAAGAGAGAGGGAAAGAGAGCAAAGACAAGUCAAAUCGCCGGUCUUCCAACAGGUCCAGAAGCCCGGAGUCCUCGUCCUUUAGGGCUGCCAAGGUUUUCGUUCCAGCAUCCACACCACCCCGCUCAUCACCUCCUCGCUCCUGCUGCUGCCAUCUUGACAGUUUCCCCUCUUUCACUCAAGUCAUUUAAACAAGCCUUGGCGAAAAGGCAGAGCGGGAGGUCACGCAGGCGGAGGGAGAGAGGGAGGGAGGGAGGGAGGGAGGGAGCGAGGGAAUGUGGCCCACGGUGGCCUUGGCACGAGCGGGAGAGGGGGCUCCAGCCUGCCAGCCCCGGGAUUGCAAAGGGAGGCGCGUGUCCUCGCGGGCGAGACUUCACCCAGGGAAGGGCAAGGGCAAGAUCUUGAGUGCCUCAAGAACGUGAAGGGAGCUGGCAUUUGGGCUGGGGGGUCGGGGAGGGGAGGAUUUCGGACGAGGCUGUCCUUGGAGGAAGCCCAGCAGAAAGAGCGAGUGGAGCAACUGGAUCACACGCCUCCAUCUCUUCCUCUCUUUGCCUGCCCUGCAAAGGAUAAAAUAAGGUGCCUAGCAGGAUGUUCUGCAAGGGAGAAUUGUUGCGGGAAAGGCAGAUCUGAAUCUCGUUCUGUGUUGACACGAUCCCGAGCAAUAGGGCCAAGCGUGGAACUAUUUACACCCCGACUUUGUGUAAAGAGAGGAAGGCAAAGGGUGAGCAGGAACAGGCACACAGCACCAGCAUGCCUGUUGCUGUGGCCUUGA